rnacentral:rRNA from 1 species
AGCGAACGCUGGCGGCAGGCCUAACACAUGCAAGUCGAACGAACUCUUCGGAUUUAGUGGCGGACGGGUGAGUAACACGUGGGAACGUGCCUUUUUGUUCGGAAUAACUCAGUGAAACUUGUUCUAAUACCGAAUGUGCCCUUCGGGGGAAAGAUUUAUCGCCAUUAGAGCGGCCCGCGUCUGAUUAGCUAGUUGGUGAGGUAACGGCUCACCAAGGCGACGAUCAGUAGCUGGUCUGAGAGGAUGACCAGCCACACUGGGACUGAGCCACGGCCCAGACUCCUACGGGAGGCAGCAGUGGGGACUCUUGCGCAAUGGGCGAAAGCCUGAAGCAGCCAUGCCGCGUGAAUGAUGAAGGUCUUAGGAUCGUAAAAUUCUUUCAACGGGGACGAUAAUGACGGUACCCGGAGAAGAAGCCCCGGCUAACUUCGUG